AGAAGACAGAUCUUUAGCGU
rnacentral:snRNA from 1 species